rnacentral:lncRNA from 10 species
GUGAGUUUUAAUAGAAAAAAACACAGCUGUAUAAAAAAGAAUGUGUGGGUGGGGAGGGAGGAGCAUGUUUCAGGCCAAAGGAACAGCAUAUGCAGAGACUAUGAGUCAUAAACCAAUGGGGUUGGUUGGGAAUUUCCAAGAAGUUCAGUAUGACAGACGCAUUGGAGGUGUGGCUUGGAGGUGUGGCUUGGCUUUGGAGGUGUGGCUUGCUGGGAGUUAAAGCCCCCAAGGUAGGCUUGGGAUGCACUAAAAAGACAUUUGUAAUUUAUUCCACAAACUCUGUAUAAUCUUUGAAGUAUCUUAAAUGGUGAGGAAACUCCAAAAGACUUCUAUUUGAGAUUUAAAGAAUUGUUUUGAGAGCUUUAGGGAUGAAGCACUGACACGGGGUGAGUUGGUGCAGACUGGAGAUGACCUAGAGGCUACUGAAAGGAGGCAUACUCAAACUCAGGAAUAGUGGUGGGGAGGAAGAAGAGGAGAGGAUGACAAAACCGUGUUUAUAAGAUAUAAUCUCUGCCAUGAAGGCUGAAUGAGGAGAAGAAGGGUAAUUCCCAGGUUUUUGGAUUGAACGACUGGUAACUGAUAAAAACUUUUACGGAAAGAAGAUAUAGAAGAGAAUUAGUUCUGAUGGAGGGACUCAGCAGGACACUGCAAAUAUCUAUUGAAACGUCCACUGACUGAUGAUAAAAACAAAGGCUUUUUUUAUUGAGGCUACAAAGAAGAAAAUGAGCUCCCUCACAUCUUUGGGCAAAAGCGACAUCAGACAACGAGUCAGAGCCAUCCAUCUCUGGCAACUCCACAUUUCCUGCAAAGUUUGCAACUGCUUCUCCAUCUGCUACUUCUGAUGAUCUCCCGCCCUUGUUUCCAUCACUCAUCAGUGUCUACCCUUCUGUAAACUGUCAUUCUUUAAGCAACCUUCAACUUUUUUAAAAAGGAUUAGUGCCCUUACUGAAGAGGUUGAACGGAGCAGCCUUGCCCCCUUCUGCCAUGUGAGGAUGCAGCAAGAAAGUGUCAUCUAUAAGGAACAGGCCCUCAUCAGACACAGAGUCUACUGUUGCUUUGAUCUUGGAUUUCUCAGCCUCCAGAACUGUAAAAAAUAAAUUUUUGUUGUUUAUAAA